rnacentral:rRNA from 1 species
UGAGGAAUAUUGGUCAAUGGGCGAGAGCCUGAACCAGCCAAGUAGCGUGCAGGAUGACGGCCCUAUGGGUUGUAAACUGCUUUUAUGUGGGGAUAAAGUGCGUGACGUGUCAUGCAUUGCAGGUACCACAUGAAUAAGGACCGGCUAAUUCCGUGCCAGCAGCCGCGGUAAUACGGAAGGUCCGGGCGUUAUCCGGAUUUAUUGGGUUUAAAGGGAGCGUAGGCUGUCUAUUAAGCGUGUUGUGAAAUUUACCGGCUCAACCGGUGGCUUGCAGCGCGAACUGGUCGACUUGAGUAUGCAGGAAGUAGGCGGAAUUCAUGGUGUAGCAGUGCAAUGCUUAGAUAUCAUGACGAACUCCGAUUGCGCAGGCAGCUUACUGUAGCAUAACUGACGCUGAUGCUCGAAAGUGCGGGUAUCAAACAGG